CUCAUUAAAAGAGUGCGUAAUAGCUCACUGGUCGAGUGACUCUGCGCCGAAAAUUCAACGGGGCUAAAAUUCAUACCGAAGCUUGGGCUUGACAGAAAUGUCAGGGGUAGGGGAGCGUCGUAUACGAGGUGAAGUCAUAGCGGAAGCGGUGGUGGAUUGUAUACGAGUGAGAAUGCCGGAAUGAGUAGCGAGAAUUAUGUGAGAAUCAUAAUGGCCGAAAGUCUAAGGUUUCCUGAGGAAGGUUCGUCCUCUCAGGGUUAGCCGGGAGCUAAGGUGAGGCGGAAACGCGUAGCCGAUGCACAUACGGUAGAAAUUCCGUAGCCUCCGAAGAUUUAAGCACAGGGACACUUUUGAAGGGCUGAGCCGGGCGUUGGUUGCCCUGGUCGAAAGGGACACGAUUGAGUGGAAGUCAGUUUGGAAAGAGGCGAGAAAAGCUGUGUGUAUAUGAAAGGAGCCCGUACCGCAAACCGACACAGGUAGACAGGAAGAAGAUUCUAAGGCCAGCGGGAGAAGGGUUGUUAAGGAACUCGGCAAGUUGACCCCGUAACUUCGGGAGAAGGGGUGCUUACGAAGGUAAGCCGCAGAGAAUAGGCCCAAGCGACUGUUUAGCAAAAACACAGCUCUAUGCUAAAUCGAAAGAUGACGUAUAUGGGGUGACACCUGCCCGGUGCUGGAAGGUUAAGAGGAGAUGUGAGAGCAUUGAAUUGAAGCCCCAGUAAACGGCGGCCGUAACUAUAACGGUCCUAAGGUAGCGAAAUUCCUUGUCAGGUAAGUUCUGACCCGCACGAAUGGUGUAACGAUUUGGGCACUGUCUCAACAACCCACCCGGCGAAAUUGUAGUACCGGUGAAGAUGCCGGUUACCCGCGACUAGACGGAAAGACCCCAUGGAGCUUCACUGCAGCUUAAUAUUGGAUUUCGGUAUUUCAUGUACAGGAUAGGUGGGAGACUGGGAAAUACAGGCGUCAGCUUGUAUGGAGUCAUUGUUGGGAUACCACUCUUGAGGUGCUGGAAUUCUAACCUGUGGCCUUGAAUCAGGUCAGGGGACAUUGUUAGGCGGGCAGUUUGACUGGGGCGGUCGCCUCCUAAAAGGUAACGGAGGCGCUCAAAGGUUCGCUCAGCAUGGACGGAAACCAUGCCAAAGAGUGUAAACGCAUAAGCGAGCCUAACUGCGAGACUGACGGGUCGAGCAGUAACGAAAGUUGGAGUUAGUGAUCCGGCGGUAUGUGAGUGGAAAUGCCGUCGCUCAACGGAUAAAAGCUACCCUGGGGAUAACAGGCUGAUCUCCCCCAAGAGUCCACAUCGACGGGGAGGUUUGGCACCUCGAUGUCGGCUCAUCGCAUCCUGGGGCUGAAUUCGGUCCCAAGGGUUUGGCUGUUCGCCAAUUAAAGCGGUACGCGAGCUGGGUUCAGAACGUCGUGAGACAGUUCGGUCCCUAUCUGUCGUGGGCGUUGGAGAUUUGAAAGGAGCUGUCCCUAGUACGAGAGGACCGGGAUGGACGCACCUCUGGUGCACCAGUUGUCACGCCAGUGGCACAGCUGGGCAGCUAUGUGCGGAACGGAUAAACGCUGAAAGCAUCUAAGCGUGAAGCCGCCCUUAAGAUAAGAUCUCCUUUAAGACCCCUUGUAGACUACGAGGUUGAUAGGUCUGAUGUGUAAGCACGGUGACGUGUUUAGCUUGCAGAUACUAAUCGGUCGUUCGCUUUUCCU
rnacentral:rRNA from 1 species